rnacentral:rRNA from 1 species
UACGAACGGUCCAAACGUUAUUCGGAAUCACUGGGCUUAAAGCGUCCGUAGGCGGCUCGGAAAGUAGGGUGUGAAAUCCCACGGCUCAACCGUGGAAUUGCGCUCUAAACUAUCGAGCUAGAGGGAGAUAGAGGUGAGCGGAACUGAUGGUGGAGCGGUGAAAUGCGUUGAUAUCAUCAGGAACACCGGAGGCGAAGGCGGCUCACUGGCUCGGUACUGACGCUGAGGUGCGAAAGCGUGGGGAGCAAACAGG